UAUGGAGAAGUUUCAGCUAAAGUGCCUGAAUUUUCUCUGUUCUACAUUUAUGGUUACUUAAGUUACAAGAUGUAAAUUAAGUAUUGAUUGAAAUUAAAAACUAAAGGUAGUUUUUUUAUUACGUUAGUGAUAUUUUAAAUAAAUUGUAAUUUAAUAGUUUGCCUUAAAAGGGUUAGUAGUGGCAGGAAAAAGAAAAGCGGAAACUUAAUGGCGAUAAUAAUGAGAGGAGAGCCGUUGGUGGCGAAGCUGGCUGCGGUGGCUAAGUACGUUGUACUACCAGGAAUUAUGGUGGCGGCUUUGAUCUAUUCUCCACCUCGAUAUGCUUCCUCUUCCCAACACAGCAAAUCCCCCAAAUAACAUCCAUUCCAAAUCCUCCUUCCUCGCUCUCGGGGCAGCUUUGAUGUGAUUCUGCAUAUAAUAAUACUCAACUCAGGACCUUGUCAAGUGAUUUUCUUGAGUAGUUUUUUACGGGUGAAAAUUUGUUUGAUAUUUUCCCUCUCUAGAACUGAGUUGUAUAUUGCUCUUCUCAUAACCUGCUCAGUGCUUACUGUAGACAUUUUCUACUCGAUCAGUGAGUCUAUUAAGCAUGUCUUAAUGUUUUUGGAA